AGUUUUGUCUGUACAGUGUUAAUAAAGUUGUGUGUUUGUACAGUGUUAAUAAAGUUGUGUUUGUACAGUGUUAAUAAAGUUGUGUGUCUGUACAGUGUUAAUAAAGUUGUGUUUGUACAGUGUUAAUAAAGUUGUGUGUUUGUACAGUGUUAAUAAAGUUGUGUGUUUGUACAGUGUUAAUAAAGUUGUGUGUUUGUACAGUGAUAAUAAAGUUGUGUCUGUACAGUGUUAAUAAAGUUGUGUGUUUGUACAGUGUUAAUAAAGUUGUGUGUUUGUACAGUGUUAAUAAAGUUGUGUGUUUGUACAGUGUUAAUAAAGUUGUGUGUUUGUACAGUGUUAAUAAAGUUGUGUGUUUGUACAGUGAUAAUAAAGUUGUGUGUUUGUACAGUGUUAAUAAAGUUGUGUGUUUGUACAGUGAUAAUAAAGUUGUGUGUUUGUACAGUGAUAAUAAAGUUGUGUGUUUGUACAGUGUUAAUAAAGUUGUGUUUGUACAGUGUUAAUAAAGUUGUGUGUUUGUACAGUGUUAAUAAAGUUGUGUGUUUGUACAGUGUUAAUAAAGUUGUGUGUUUGUACAGUGUUAAUAAAGUUGUGUGUUUGUACAGUGAUAAUAAAGUUGUGUGUUUGUACAGUGUUAAUAAAGUUGUGUUUGUACAGUGUUAAUAAAGUUGUGUUUGUACAGUGUUAAUAAAGUUGUGUUUGUACAGUGUUAAUAAAGUUGUGUCUGUACAGUGUUAAUAAAGUUGUGUGUUUGUACAGUGUUAAUAAAGUUGUGUUUGUACAGUGUUAAUAAAGUUGUGUUUGUACAGUGUUAAUAAAGUUGUGUUUGUACAGUGUUAAUAAAGUUGUGUCUGUACAGUGUUAAUAAAGUUUUGUGUUUGUACAGUGUUAAUAAAGUUGUGUGUUUGUACAGUGUUAAUAAAGUUGUGUGUUUGUACAGUGUUAAUAAAGUUGUGUGUUUGUACAGUGUUAAUAAAGUUGUGUGUUUGUACAGUGUUAAUAAAGUUGUGUGUUUGUACAGUGUUAAUAAAGUUGUGUGUUUGUACAGUGUUAAUAAAGUUGUGUGUUUGUACAGUGAUAAUAAAGUUGUGUGUUUGUACAGUGUUAAUAAAGUUGUGUGUUUGUACAGUGAUAAUAAAGUUUUGUGUUUGUACAGUGUUAAUAAAGUUGUGUUUGUACAGUGUUAAUAAAGUUGUGUUUGUACAGUGUUAAUAAAGUUGUGUGUUUGUACAGUGUUAAUAAAGUUGUGUGUUUGUACAGUGUUAAUAAAGUUGUGUUUGUA